rnacentral:rRNA from 1 species
AGAGCCCAAACCAAGAAGCUUGCUUCUUGGGGUUGUAGGACACUCUAUACGGAGUUACAAAAGAAAGUUAUAAAUGAAGCGGUCUGGAAAGGCCCGCCAAAGACGGUAACAGCCCGGUAGUUGAAAUGGCUUUCCCUCCAGAGUGGAUCCUGAGUACGGCGGAACACGUGAAAUUCCGUCGGAAUCCGGGAGGACCAUCUCCCAAGGCUAAAUACUCCCUAGUGACCGAUAG